rnacentral:rRNA from 1 species
AGCCUGAACGCUGGCGGCGUGGCUAAGACAUGCAAGUCGCACGGGGCCGCAAGGCCUAGUGGCGAACGGGUGAGUAAUGUAUCGCUAACGUACCCUUCAGUUUGGAAUAGCCGGGGGAAACCCCGGGUAAUACCAGGUGAUAUCACUGUCUCGCAUGGGAUGGUGCUCAAAGGAGUAAUCCGCUGAGGGAGCGGGCGAGUAUCGUAUCAGCUAGUUGGUGAGGUAACGGCUCACCAAGGCGACGACGCGUAGCCGGACUGAGAGGUCGGUCGGCCACAUUGGGACUGAGACACUGCCCAGACUCCUACGGGGGCUGCAGUAACGAAUCUUCCGCAAUGCACGCAAGUGUGACGGAGCGACGCCGCGUGUGGGACGAAGUCCUUCGGGAUGUAAACCACUGUCAGGGUUACCAAGUUCUGAGGAACCCCAGAGGAAGGCACGGCUAACUCUGCGCCAGCAGCCGC